rnacentral:ncRNA from 2 species
GGAAAGGGUUCUGGGGAUGGUGUUCGGAAAGCCAAAAGCAAUCCGGGCUGAAAAGGGAAUACGGUGCGGCGUUCGUAACAGACGCCAAGUCCGUGACUGCCCCCGCAACUGUAAGCGGUGAGCGACCCCGAUGAUCACCACUGGGUGCAUCCGCAUCCGGGAAGGAUCGGGCAAGCUGUGACCCGCAAGUCAGGAGACCUGCCAUCAUCGAUGUAACUUC